rnacentral:sRNA from 1 species
UAUUCUGCCCCACGGGGAAGGAUGAGAAGCUUCGACCAAGGUUCGACUCGAGCGAAGCGAGAGAACGUUGCCGCAGGCAACGGCCCGAAGGGCGAAGCGAGAGAACGUUGCCGCAGGCAAUGGCCCGAAGGCGAGGCGCUUUAGCGCCGAGUAAUCCUUCCCCCACCACUG